rnacentral:rRNA from 1 species
AACGAACGCUGGCGGCAUGCCUAACACAUGCAAGUCGAACGAGAUCUUCGGGUCUAGUGGCGCACGGGUGCGUAACGCGUGGGAAUCUGCCCUUUGGUUCGGAAUAACAGUUGGAAGCGACUGCUAAUACCGGAUGAUGACGAAAGUCCAAAGAUUUAUCGCCAGAGGAUGAGCCCGCGUAGGAUUAGCUAGUUGGUGUGGUAAAGGCGCACCAAGGCGACGAUCCUUAGCUUGUCUGAGAGGAUGAUCAGCCACACUGGGACUGAGACACGGCCCAGACUCCUACGGGAGGCAGCAGUGGGGAAUAUUGGACAAUGGGCGAAAGCCUGAUCCAGCAAUGCCGCGUGAGUGAUGAAGGCCUUAGGGUUGUAAAGCUCUUUUACCCGGGAUGAUAAUGACAGUACCGGGAGAAUAAGCUCCGGCUAACUCCGUGCCAGCAGCCGCGGUAA